AUCAAAAGAAAAGAUGAUUCAUAUAGUUGACCGCAACUAACUUGAGAUUGAGUUGUAAUUGUUGAUUGAAUUAUUAAUAUAACAUUUAGCUCGUCUUUUUAGUUAUAACACUAAAAUUGGUAAGAAGCAACAACUCUCCUGAUUCUGCAUUGCACUUACGGUUUUUUUUUUUUUUUUUUUUGGAUGAUUUACACUAAUGUACGGUUAUUGUUUUGCUCUUCCUAAAUCAGGAAUCUGUCAAGACAAAGCACCCUCAACUUCAUUACGAGUCAAAAAUAUAUAUGCUUCUCCAAGGAGGAAGUAAGUCUUUCUUUGUGUCCUUUACGUAUUCUCAGCUUUUUAUUGAUGAUUCAACUUUGUUGAUUACUCUAAAAUGCCUAUCAAAAGAAAAGGAGGGGGGUUUAGGUGGAAUGCCAGUGAAGCAGCGUGAUAUGCUACUUGUCAGAAGUUCAAACUCACUGACCCCUUCUUCGCUAAUUAUGAGCUUGAAUGGACCUUUUUAAUGACUUAUUAGGGUCUUUUCUGUCCUCUUUUACAUGAUGUCUGUUCUGUUUAUAAAAUAUUUGGUAGACUCAAAGUAGCAACCAAUUAGUUCUAUGUGUUUUGUCUAAUCAAAGAACUUUUGGUUGGGAAUGUUAUAAAUCGAAAAUUGACUCCUUACCUUUGCCAUUAAUUAUGAAGCCGGGAUUCCCAACCUCAAAUGGUUCGGAGUUGAGGGCGAGUACAAUGUAAUGGUCAUUGACCUUCUUGGACCAAGUUUGGAAGACCGCUUCAACUAUUGCAAUAGGAAGUUCACUUUGAAAACAGUUUGAAUGCUUGCGGAUCAACUAAUUAAUAGAGUUGAGUAUAUGCACUCAAGAGGAUUUCUUCACCUAGACAUAAAGCCAGACAACUUUUUAAUGGGCCUAGGUCGCAAAGCAAAUCAGGUUUAGGCCAUCGACUUUGGGCUUGCCAGAAAGUAUAGGGACCUACAGACUCACAAGCAUAUACCAUACAGGUAGUCACGCUUGUUACUUGACUGGUCCUUGCAAUUGUCCUUUUUAUCUUUUCAGCGCUUUAGAAGGAACGGGAUGGUCUUGUUUGAUUCUCUUUCACUGCUCUUAGCAAGUCUCUAUUGUCAAGAUAAGCAUUAAUUAGAUUCAAUAGUCCGAUGACCUAGUGUUUUUUCUUCCACUGGAAUCCCCUCUUUAAUGUUUUUGAUGUCAUAAACAUCAUACUAGCAAUUGAAUACUCAAAUCCUUUGGUAGUAUAUUACAUAAGCAUUAAUUAGAUUCAAUAGCCCUAUGACCAACUAUAGGAUGUCACUGAGCCUUUUGAAAGCCAGGUAGAAUUUUGUUCGACGGUAAAUUUGUUAAUUAUGAGUUUACUUUUUUGAAAAUGCAAAUGUUCUUAUCAUAUAUUCUUCUUUUAUAUCGA